UACGGAGGGGGCUAGCGUUGUUCGGAAUUACUGGGCGUAAAGCGCACGUAGGCGGCUUUGUAAGUUAGAGGUGAAAGCCCAGGGCUUAACCCUGGAAUUGCCUUUAAGACUGCAUCGCUAGAAUCGUGGAGAGGUGAGUGGAAUUCCGAGUGUAGAGGUGAAAUUCGUAGAUAUUCGGAGGAAUACCUGUGGCGAAGGCGGCCUUC
rnacentral:rRNA from 1 species